rnacentral:tRNA from 3 species
GUCGGGAUAGCUCAGUGG